rnacentral:rRNA from 1 species
AAAUUGAAGAGUUUGAUCAUGGCUCAGAUUGAACGCUGGCGGCAGGCCUAACACAUGCAAGUCGAGCGGAAACGAGUUAUCAGAACCUUCGGGGGGACGAUAACGGCGUCGAGCGGCGGACGGGUGAGUAAUGCCUAGGAAAUUGCCCUGAUGUGGGGGAUAACCAUUGGAAACGAUGGCUAAUACCGCAUGAUGCCUACGGGCCAAAG